AUUGAACGCUGGCGGCAGGCCUAACACUUGCAAGUCGAGUGAGCGGCGGACGGGUGAGUACUGCCUGGGAAUUUCCCAGUCGAGGGGGAUAACAGUUGGAAACGACUGCUAAUACCGCAUACGAUUGGAUUGCCCAGGUUGGAUUUGCUAGUUGGUGAGGUAAUGGAUCAGCAAGGAGACGAUCCUUAGCUGGUCUGAGAGGAUGAUCAGCCACACGAAACUAAGGCACGGACCAGACUACUACGGUAGGGCGCAUUGGAGAAUGUUGCGCAAUGGGGAAAGCCCUGAUGCAGCGAUGCGGCGUGUGUGAAGAAGGCCUUCGGGUUAUAGAGCUCUUUCAGCGAGGAAGCGUUACUCGCAGAAUAAGGGCGGGCUAACUCCGUGCCAGCAGGCGCGGUAGUAC
rnacentral:rRNA from 1 species